GGGUGAAGCCUGUGCGAUGGAACGCCGCGAACCAUGUCAGGCGGGGAACCGAGCAGCAUUAAACGGAUGCUUCAUGUGCCGCAGUCCACUUUGCCCGUC
rnacentral:SRP_RNA from 1 species